AUUAACUUCUAAAGUUUAUAAGCAUAAAAAUUAUUCAAGACAUUGUUUCAUAGGUAACUUACAUAACUAUGUACUCCGCGUGUUUCAUUUCAUAGUCACAUACACUAAAAGUGAAUUAGAUCAUAGUCACAUACACUAAAGUGAAUCAGAUAAUAGUCACAUACACUAAAAGUGUUACUUUACUUUGGGUGAGACUUAGAUAUCGUACGCUUAGUCACGUAUGGAACACAUAUGAUGUACGCUUUUUUACGUAUGGAA